AACGAACGCUGGCGGCAGGCUUAACACAUGCAAGUCGAGCGCGUAGCAAUACGAGCGGCAGACGGGUGAGUAACACGUGGGAAUCUACCCAUCACUGGGGAAUAACUCAGGGAAACUUGUGCUAAUACCCUAUACGACCGAGAGGUGAAAGAUUUAUCGGUGAUGGAUGAGCCCGCGUUGGAUUAGCUAGUUGGUGGGGUAAAGGCCUACCAAGGCGACGAUCCAUAGCUGGUCUGAGAGGAUGAUCAGCCACACUGGGACUGAGACACGGCCCAGACUCCUACGGGAGGCAGCAGUGGGGAAUAUUGGACAAUGGGCGCAAGCCUGAUCCAGCCAUGCCGCGUGAGUGAUGAAGGUCUUAGGAUUGUAAAGCUCUUCCACCGGUGAAGAUAAUGACGGUAACCGGAGAAGAAGCCCCGGCUAACUUCGUGCCAGCCGCCGCGGUAA
rnacentral:rRNA from 1 species